GAUACGGUUCAAGCAAUGGAGAUAAUACGUUGGUUACGAACCUUGGAAUGCAUUCAAUGUUGGUCAGCAAGGAGCACACCCAGGACCUAUUGAUAACUUACCAUUGAUAGACGAUAGCACUGGAAGAUUGAAGGAGCUCCUAAUCGAUGAAGUAGAUUAUCAGCUGGUACCGCUCAAUGCUUGGAAUAAACUAGUCUCAUGCUACGGACUAGUGAAUUAUCAGGUUAUUAUUUGUAUCAUUAUGAGUUUAUAUGGAUUCUUUAGAUCGGUUGAAAAUCAAUUUAACCAACUGGAUUUGUAAGAAGGCCAAGGUGGUAAAAUCUAAGGAUCUAAAACCUUUUAAUCUAGAAUAAAAAAAUAUUCCGCAUAUGUUGUAGUAGCAAAUUCGUGUGUUGAAUCAUGAUACUUCCACAAUACAUUUCCUAUGAUAUCUAUAUCUGAUGUAAAACGUUUUAGAAAAUAUUAUAUUGAUUGAAAUCUGGUACGUCAUUGCAAACAUGCGUUUAUAGGAACCAACUGAGAAAUGUACACUACACAAGAAAGAGCCAACAGACCAUCACCAUCAAUGAAAGGAAGGUUAAAAGUUGAGAAGGACAAUAGAUAUAAGAAGAUGUGGUAUGGGUGCCAAUGAGACAACUCUCCAUCCAAGUCACAAUUUAUAAAAGUAAACCAUUAUAGGUCAAAGUACGGCUUUCAACACGGAGCCUUGGCUCACACUGAACAGCAAGCUAUAAAGGGUCCCAAAAAUGACCAGUGUAAAACCAUUCAAACAGGAAAACCAACGGUCUAAUCUAUAUAAAAAACGAGAAACACUUAUGAACCACACCAACAAAUGACAACCAUUGACAAGUCUAGUUUAGAUCUUUAGAUACCAGAACAGUCAUUUAUCUGUACAUUUACCGAUUGUAUCGUGUUCCCUUUUGUGAAAUUUUGACUAAGUGUGGAUUCGCAUUGUGGAUUAUGCAUGCAUAAAAAGAGAUGCUUAUCCCGUUGACGCAACCGGUAUCGUUCCGUUUAGUGUUUAACAAUUGGUAUAUUCUAAAUGGAUUUACGAAAUUUGAACUUUGGUAAACUACUGUUUCCUCUUACAUAUAAUGAAUUUGGAAAUUCUGUUAUCAAUGUCUAAAAUGACACUGCUCUCUAUAUUUAAUUUAGUUGGAGGGAGUUUAGGUUGAUGAAUUUCAUUUGUGUUGAAUUGUUGAUAUUUGACAAAUGAGUUUUGAAUUUCCUCAUGGUAUCUUCCGCAUAUUUUUAACAGAGGAGAAUAUAUCGUUUAAACACCUGCAUGGUUAAAACUAUCCGUCAUGUAGUUUUAUCCUAAACUGUUAUAAAUAAAAGUUAAGAGAUAAAUCUGUAAAAAGAAGGGCACAGUUAGCCCCAAACUGAAUACAAAUCACAUCAUGGGAUACUUUAUCUCCAAAACGAACCUAUAUAUUAUCAAGCAAAAUGUUAAUGAUUUAAUGAUUUGUAUAUAAUUGAAAAAUGAACUGUAAAGACUUUAUUAGAUAUAGUUUCAGCCAGAUUUAUGAAAAGACAAUUUUUUGUUUAAGGGGACAUUAAAUACGAAGUUGACAAAAUAAUCAAAAUAUAAUUAUUUGGUUUCAAAAAUUUAUUAAGUGUCAUUGUGAAAAAAAAAUCGCUAUUAGCAGUCAGUUAAGUUUAAUUUUGUCAAAAUAAGCUAAAACAUAUCGCUGAUGUAUUAAUGGCUUGCAAGUCAAUAGUUCAUCUCAUUCAUGCGAACUUCAAUUAAACCCUUAAUUGGAAAGAGCUACGCAUGGGGUAAGCAUGUUUAGUUAAAAAAAAGGACAAGAAUGUCAACAUUGAAAAGUAAAACAAGGCAGCAACCAGGAAGAUCCCUUUCGUUGACUGAUUUUGCCCACAAAAAAUCAUUCAAAUACAGAUAAAACGAUUAUUUACUUAUUUUUUAAUCUAUGACAUGAAAUCAAACAGACCUGGAAAAAUCGUCAUUUUACGAUUGCACGUGCUUGCCUGUAUAUUUAUAUUUAUAAUUAUGUUAACAUCAGUUCAUGUGACUGAUGGAAUUCUUCGGAGAUCAAUUCGAUGGUUAAUUGGAUGGCGUCUAUUCUAAAAUACACACGAAAUGUUUGUACAUUAUUUAACUAGAUCAUGUAUGGUAAAUUGUUUCUUUAUGAUAUUUUGUUAUUUGGAUAGAUGUUUAAGUAUAAAAUAUUAGAUUUUGAGUCGAAUCGGUGACAUUAAUUUGACAGCUAAUGUCCCUUUAAGAAGUUUUUAUGGUGGUAUAGUAUACAGUUUAGAGAAAUCAUAAACGUCAAGCGAGACAUUCGAGCGUAUUCAAGAGUUCUAAAGAGUUAGACAUUAAUAUCGAUACUAAAAUAAUGUUUGUUACAAUAUUUCAUAACGAGUCCGUUAACAGUUGUACGAGAGAAAUUCAGAAAAACUGACAUGUGUAGUUGAACAUAAGCUGAAUGCAAUUUUAAAACGAAAUAUAUGGUUUUUGAUUGCAAACCUUCUACUAUUUUUGUAAACAUAACAUUUCUGGAGAACACAAGUCUUAGAGUGUCUCUGUUAGUAUUCAAGAUCCUAACAUAGAUACUCAAUUAGUUUUUCAACUGGCUAUAAACACAAAGUGUAAAUUUCAUAUAAUUUUGGCAUUCUUAUUGUUCGUUACUGCUAUGAAUUGUACUUUUGAGAUCCAAUAAACAUAAUAAAAUUCCAAUUGAUUGGUCAAGUCCACAUAUACAGACUGAUCACACCAUUUUCGUCCAGUUUUUUUUUUACUACAUAGUAUUACACACAUGCGUGUUUGGUUUCUCUCCACGAUAACGUUCCAAAAAUGUGUAUUAUCUGCUUUUCAAUUUCUUAUUUGAUUCUCAACUGUUUUGAUUCAAGAGCCGCAGACGUGUCUUAGGAGAGCAAAACGCGCGUUUGUCGUACUAAAUUAUAAACCCACCACCUUUAAUGAAUUUUUAGCAUUAACAUAAACAAUUAUUAUAUUAAUUGAAUGCCUUGUUUUUCGUAGUUUUAUUGGCUGACUGUGUGCACAUUUAUGGCAUGAACCGAUUCAUACAUAAUGUAAUUCGAUAAAGUUUGUACACAUAAUAAAAGUAGAUAAAGAAAGUCUCAAUUCUUAUAAAUAACUUUAAAUGUCACAAAAAUACAUUGAAACUGACAUCAUAUAUUGGUGGUAUAUAAAGUAGAAAAUCAGUCUGAAAGUAAAUAUCGCCGUAUAUGUGGGAAACAUCUCAUUGCAUAGGUUUUCACAUGAAACGAACUGUAUCAGUGAAAAUUAACAAAAAUGCAAAAUGAAAAGUAUGGCUUUGAACAAAUGAUAAUUUUUAGAUCAAACAUAAAUUUUAAUGAUGAAAAUUUAGGUUCUGUGGAAAUCCGAGACUUCACUGCAAACGUGUACAAAUUAUAUAAUGAAAUUUCAUAACAGGGAAUAAACGAAACAUCAUAAUCGAAUAGAGAAGAAAAGAUCAUCCCUUUUGUCAUAAACUUUGGUAUAAAAACAUUGUUACGGCAAGAAAUAACCUUUAAAUUGUAGCCAACAAAAGACACAAAUCAAUAAUAAAAUUUAACAAGAUUUAUUAUACACAAGUUUACAAGAAAAAUUAUACAAAUUGAUAUGUCAACUUAACUGUUAAAAUAUAUGUCCGAUCCGUUGUCUUUUCUUUAUCCGGAUAAUUUACCUUUUGUUGAGUUGUAGCACAUGUUGGGAAGAUCAGUUAGAAAGCGAAAAGUGCGACCUUGCUUGGCUACAGAACACCACAAGGGUAGUAACAAUUGGACCAGAGACAUAGACAACAAUCAGACAAUGACGUGCACAAUUUUUACAGAUGGGUCACCAGACUGGACGGGAUUCAUGACUCAUCACGCCACUAACUCAACUCCUUUAGGUCACAUACAUUUGUACAUCGGAUCAUCAUCAGACGUCAUUUAUGCAAACCCCCAGAGCUCUGCAUCAGUAUGUUCCAUUUGAUAAUUUACCAGGAAAUCGUCAGAUUUACCAAAACAGUAUAUUACUUUUAAGUUAAACCCCUACGUGUACAUGUGAUUCUAACAAAUAACAAACAUAUGUAUAAAGAUAUAAGGCAACUUUUUUCCAAUCUUAUGGUUAAGAUGUAGAUUUGUGUAAUGAUUAUUUCUCAGUUUCUAAACUUAAAUCCACAAAAUAUU